CAAAAGUGAGUACACCCCUAAGUGAAAAUGUCCAAACAUAUGAAGCAUAUGACCUGAAACAAACAAACAAAGGUUUAUGCAUCAUGUUAUCUACACAGACCUCAUUAGUUAGGACAAGGUUUACGACUGGUUUAUAAGUCAUGUUACCUACACAGACCUCAUUAGUUAGGACAAGGUUUACGACUGGUUUAUAAAUCAUGUUACCUACACAGACCUCAUUAGUUAGGACAAGGUUUACGACUGGUUUAUAAAUCAUGUUACCUACACAGACCUCAUUAGUUAGGACAAGGUUUACGACUGGUUUAUAAAUCAUGUUACCUACACAGACCUCCUUAGUUAGGACAAGGUUUACGACUGGUUUAUAAAUUAUGUUACCUACACAGACCUCCUUAGUUAGGACAAGG
ensembl:lncRNA